rnacentral:lncRNA from 1 species
AGUAGAGGGCGCACUCUUGUGAGCAGCUUUUGUACCCCGUUGCUUCCUGGCUGCUUUACCGGUCGAUUUGCAGGCAGUGCGCUUUGUACAAGCCAUGGUAUAGAGGCUUCCCUACUUACCUCCCUUAUCCUUCAGCUGGAGCUCUGCCAGCGAGAGGCGGCGCUGGCGUUGGAGAGUGAUGGCGGCAUGGACGCGCGGCAGCAGCGGCUGCGAACACCUUGAGGACGGGUCUCAUUAUGUUGCCCAGGCUGGACUUGAACUUCUGGGCUCGAGCAAUUCUCCCACCUCAGCCUACCAAGCAGCUGGGACUACAGGUCUGCACCACUGCACCCUACCCAUUCAAGUCCACAUCCCCAGAAAUGAGGAUAAUGCUUGGCACAAGGUGUUUAUUAUUCCCUUGCUUUUCUUCAUAAUUUCACCACAUAAAUUUGCUUUCCUAAAACCUCAAGAACAACGUGGAUUAAAGUGAUUCAUAUUUUGAAUUCUCUCCCAAGCUGUCUUUGCUGUGUUCCUACUUGUCACAAACUCCAGAGGGGAAAAGAUUUUAUGCUACUUGAAAUCUUAACAAUGCAGCUGCCACAGUUUCAAAGAUGUUGCCAGAAGACACAAAACCCCUGGGUCAGAGACAAAGAAUAUUACUGUGCAUGGUACAAGAGGGAGAUUAAUGUUCACAUGGUUCUCUUGACCCUCAAGUGCCAUGAGGAUGAUGUGGAGGAAGACUCAGGUGGAUGCUGUGCACACAGUGAAUCUGUGUUUCAGCUUAGGAUGUAUUCUAAAAAGUAGGCUGCUAGCAAACUUGUCCAAGCUUUGCCCUGGAGGAAGAUGUUAUCUUUAUUGUUCUGCAUGGGGAAACAGAUCUGCACUUUGCAGAAGUGCAGAAACUAUGUAUUUUCCAAGGUUGUUUGCUAUAUAAAUAUUUUGGAAAGAUAGUCCAGUAAAAGAGUUGAUUCAAGUCAUCCAUAAUACUUCUUAUGGAGAAAUGUCUCUCAACAACACUAACCAUCUUUCAGUUUCUGUAAUGGCCUAUGCCCACUCUGAGUGCUGCUGCAUGUGCUAUUUUUCUUUUGGAAACAUUUUCUCCUGCUUUCUCUGUCUCAUCUAAUUAACUUCUCAUCAUUCUUUAAAUGUAGGUUUUUUUUUUUUUUUUCAGUUCCUCAGAUUAAGUUGAAUUCCCCCAUAGGUUGCUAUUUAUUCCAUUAAGAGGAUUUAUUGGCUCGGUGCGGUGGCUCAUGGCUGUAAUCCCAGCACUUUGGGAGGCCGAGGCAGGUGGAGCAUGAGGUCAGGAGCUCAAGACCAGCCUGGCCAAGAUGUUGAAACCCUGUCUCUACUAAAACUACAAAAAGUAGCCAGGGGCAGUGGCAGGUGCCUGUAAUCCCAGCUACUAGGGAGGCUGAAGCAGGAGAAUUGCUUGAACCCCGGGCAGCAGAGGUUGCAGUGAGCUGAGAUCGCGCCAUGACACUCCAGCCUGGGUGACAGACUGAGAUUCUCGCCCAGAGUCAAAUUUUC